CAACCCUGACGCACGGCAACGUCCUUGACGCGUCGUAUGCCCAAUCCACAAACCACAAGUCUUUUUUUUGUUACUGGUUGUCUGCUGAAUGUAGUUUGUGUUCUGUAUUAAUAUAUUAAACAUUCUCUUGGUUACAACACUAAAAUUUGCCACUUUUUUGAGCUAACCUGAGAGACUUCUUUUUACUAUUAUUUCCAAGGUACACUCAAUUGUUGUUUGAAGGUGGAUUAUCACCAGAUAUCCUCUGAAUCAUGGUAUAAUAGGUUGAUAUGGUAUGGUUAAUAUGGUUCUCAACCUAUUAUACCAUGUGUUGAAUGGUACGCACACUAUCAACACCCUUACAGUGUGCUUCAUAAAUACAUCAACCCCUGAGAUAACAUUAUUGUUGGAAAUUGUGUUUUUGUUCUCCACUUUUAUUAUCCACAUGGUAUUUUCACACUACUUCAUUACCAUCAUGGAAAACCAGGUGUGACAUUCUAUCAUCCUGGAAAAAGGAUUAGAAUCCCUUUUAUUUUCCAGAAUUUCUAGAACUGGAAAUUUUCCAAAGAUUCGUUAAAGCUGAUAAUUGUCAACAGGCACACUCUGAGUAGAAAGAAAACGUGGUUUGCCUUAACAUUUUAUCAUCCUGGAAAAAGGAUUCUGGAAAUUGAUGAUUUCUAAUAUACAGCUGGUUUUCAGAAUGAGCUUCCAAUUUGAAGUUGUGAGUGUUUUAUGGGAUUAUGGAUUCCUUCUUUGAAAACCAAAUUAUUUACUUCUAUAAAUGGAUUUUGAAGUAUCAUACAUGUGUUAUUAUGUACUCAAUGAUGCAGAUCUUCGCGAAGCCUUUAAUUGACGUUAUACUAAAAAAUUCCCAUGGAAGGAAGUUCUUUCAGGAUCUGUUAUCGACCGUCUAUGUUAUGCAGUAAUUGGAUCUGCAGUUUAGUUGGAAACUUUAACUUAGAAAUGUGCCCAGCUUAGAAUUUAUAUAAAAGAUUAUAUUUGAGUGGAAAAAGUUCCUGGUUGAGACAGGAGAU